CGGGAGCCUGAUGCAGCAACGCCGCGUGAGGGAUGACGGCCUUCGGGUUGUAAACCUCUUUUAGCAGGGAAGAAGCGAAAGUGACGGUACCUGCAGAAAAAGCGCCGGCUAACUACGUGCCAGCAGCCGCGGUAAUACGUAGGGCGCAAGCGUUAUCCGGAAUUAUUGGGCGUAAAGAGCUCGUAGGCGGUUUGUCGCGUCUGCUGUGAAAACCCGAGGCUCAACCUCGGGCCUGCAGUGGGUACGGGCAGACUAGAGUGCGGUAGGGGAGAUUGGAAUUCCUGGUGUAGCGGUGGAAUGCGCAGAUAUCAGGAGGAACACCGAUGGCGAAGGCAGAUCUCUGGGCCGUUACUGACGCUGAGGAGCGAAAGGGUGGGGAGCAAACAGGCUUAGAUACCCUGGUAGUCCACCCCGUAAACGUUGGGAACUAGUUGUGGGGGCCUUUCCACGGUCUCCGUGACGCAGCUAACGCAUUAAGUUCCCCGCCUGGGGAGUACGGCCGCAAGGCUAAAACUCAAAUGAAUUGACGGGGA
rnacentral:rRNA from 1 species